rnacentral:rRNA from 1 species
CCUACGGGAGGCAGCAGUGAGGAAUAUUGGUCAAUGGGCUUACGCCUGAACCAGCCAAGUCGCGUGAGGGAAGACUGCCCUAUGGGUUGUAAACCUCUUUUGUCAGGGAGCAACGCCGGCUACGUGUAGCCGGACUGAGAGUACCUGAAGAAAAAGCAUCGGCUAACUCCGUGCCAGCAGCCGCGGUAAUACGGAGGAUGCGAGCGUUAUCCGGAUUUUUUGGGUUUAAAGGGUGCGUAGGCGGAAUGCCAAGUCAGCGGUAAAAUCGCGGGGCUCAACCUCGCUCCGCCGUUGAAACUGGCGUUCUUGAGAGGGCGAGAAGUAUGCGGAAUGCGUGGUGUAGCGGUGAAAUGCAUAGAUAUCACGCAGAACUCCGAUUGCGAAGGCAGCAUACCGGCGCCCAACUGACGCUGAAGCACGAAAGCGUGGGUAUCGAACAGGAUUAGAUACCCCAGUAGUC